rnacentral:lncRNA from 1 species
AUCUUAUCACUGUCUCCUCUGUUUUCCUUUGUGACUUUCUUCUCUGUUCUCUUCAUCUGUUAAAAAAUUUCAACUUCACCUAUCUGUUAUCUCCAAUCCUUACUAUAAACACUGCGGAUUGUGUUUCUUCAAGUUCUCUGCUUCAUACUUAUACUGAGUUUCUUGGAGUUCUCUGCUUCUUAGUUAAAAACGGGUAAGCUUUUUAGUUGAUUAACUCACCUGCCUGGUGUCUACACUGUAAAAAUUGAUAGAAUUGGUUUGAGCAUGUUAGAAGGUUAUUUAAAAAAGAUACCUACAAUCAUUAACCAAAAACUGCAUAUCAGUUGAUAAAUAAAGCUGGAAAAUUUUAGAUAUGCUAGAUUUUUAAGGAUCCAUGAACCAUUGAUAUUACAUCCUUUUUAAGUAUCCAAGAAUAAAUUAAUAAUACUCUCCGGCAGGGGCUAAAUCAUGAUUAAAUUCUUAAUUUGUACUUUUCUCAAGCAUUCUGGCUCUUAGCCAAGGAAGCUGCCAUAAACAGGAAUUAUAAGUGUUCAAGAAUGGUAUGUUAAUAACCUCUAUAGUCACGUUUAAGGAAGAGGAUUCAUCAAGAACUUACUUUUCGAGAUGCCAAUGAAGUUGCCUUUGGGAUCAAGUGAAAGUUGACACUUCUGAUGUAUACUGUGUACUCAUUUUCCAUGAAACUUUGAAAGAAAUAGAGUUAAUAUACUUUUAUGCAGCUUACUUUCAACAAGAUAUAUACUUGUGCACAAGCAGUUAAGCACAAAGCUUUAGUUAGUAGUAGUAGUUACCAUAUGGAAGAAGCAGAGGUUUUGAAUGGCUUGAAGGGUAAAAUAAUGAACUUUUUUUUGUGGUCAACAUGACAAUAAUUUAUCGCUUUACUCAGUGGCUUUGACAGUAAGAUAUAAAAUGUUUACUUUGCAAAUUGUGAAUUUGUCUUUCUGUUUCCUUCCAUCUCCCGUAUGUGUUUACACCAAAAUAAAUAAGGUGAAAUAGUUGUAUCGUUUCUGCUCAUUAUACUUUAAUUGUUCUUUCUUCCAUAUCUCUUGCUAUUUGAUGAAAAAAUCAUAAUUCUAUUGUUGUAUAAUGAUGUUUAGGACAACUGGAGUACCAAUCGUUGUAACACAAUCAAAUUAAUGGAUAUUCGACAAUCAAAAAAGGCCAUCGCUCGGUGACGGAAGCUCAUGAUAAG